GAUGGCGACCGGCGCACGGGUGAGUAACACGUAUCCAACCUGCCGAUAACUCGGGGAUAGCCUUUCGAAAGAAAGAUUAAUACCCGAUGGUAUAAUAAAGCCGCAUGGUUUGAUUAUUAAAGAAUUUCGGUUAUCGAUGGGGAUGCGUUCCAUUAGGCAGUUGGUGGGGUAACGGCCCACCAAACCUUCGAUGGAUAGGGGUUCUGAGAGGAAGGUCCCCCACAUUGGAACUGAGACACGGUCCAA
rnacentral:rRNA from 1 species